AGAGUUUGAUCAUGGCUCAGAUUGAACGCUGGCGGCAUGCCUUACACAUGCAAGUCGAACGGCAGCACGGGAGCAAUCCUGGUGGCGAGUGGCGAACGGGUGAGUAAUACAUCGGAACGUGCCCAGUAGUGGGGGAUAGCCCGGCGAAAGCCGGAUUAAUACCGCAUACGACCUGAGGGUGAAAGCGGGGGAUCGCAAGACCUCGCGCUAUUGGAGCGGCCGAUGUCAGAUUAGCUAGUUGGUGGGGUAAAGGCCUACCAAGGCAACGAUCUGUAGUUGGUCUGAGAGGACGACCAGCCACACUGGGACUGAGACACGGCCCAGACUCCUACGGGAGGCAGCAGUGGGGAAUUUUGGACAAUGGGCGCAAGCCUGAUCCAGCAAUGCCGCGUGCAGGAAGAAGGCCUUCGGGUUGUAAACUGCUUUUGUCAGGGAAGAAAUCCUCUGGGCUAAUACCUCGGGGGGAUGACGGUACCUGAAGAAUAAGCACCGGCUAACUACGUGCCAGCAGCCGCGGUAAUACGUAGGGUGCGAGCGUUAAUCGGGAAUUACUGGGCGUAAAGCGUGCGCAGGCGGCUUUGCAAGACAGAGGUGAAAUCCCCGGGCUCAACCUGGGAACUGCCUUUGUGACUGCAAGGCUAGAGUACGGCAGAGGGAGAUGGAAUUCCGCGUGUAGCAUUGAAAUGCGUAGGAUAUGCGGAGGAAC
rnacentral:rRNA from 1 species